AUUUGAGAUUUUCAGAAAAUGACAAGUAAUCGAUUGUUGCAAGGGACAAUCGAUUGUUGAAGCUGACCGUUGUCAAAUGAUUUUCAAAUACCUCAAGUAAUCGAUUAUUGGUUUUCUGUAAUCAAUGUUUUGCUCAAAAUCCGGAAGUAAUUUUUAAAACGUUAAUGAGGUAAUCGAUUAUUGAUUUGCUAUAAUGGAUGUUUUUGAUUAAAAUCUGUAAAUGAUUUUUGGAACGUUGCUGAAGUAAUC
rnacentral:lncRNA from 1 species